GGACGCUUAGCUCAGUUGGGAGAGCAUUUACAAGGCGAGGGUCACUGGUUCAAGCCCAGUAGCGUCCACCA
rnacentral:tRNA from 1 species